UUAAAGUUGCUCCACCAGUCUGUACUGCUAUUUUCUCUGUUUCUCUCCACUCACACACACAGCUUGAAGAAGAUGUCAAGAAGAAGAGUUUCUAUUUCUUCCAUUAUUGGACGAAGAAAAAGAAGAAGAAUUGCUGAUCAUAAUUGUCAAAAAGAGUGGUCGUUUGCCAGAUGAUGUCACGUACAACACUAUUAUCUGAGGAUUUAUUAGACAGCACAAGUGCUAUGAGGCAUUAAUACUCCUUGAGGAAAUGGCUCAAAGGGGUUUUUCGGUAGAUGCAUCCAAUUCUUCCUUGAUCGUAGAUAUACUCCCAACUAAAGGACAAGAUCCUGCUCUUCGAGAAGUGAUAAAGAAGUUCAUGCCAAAAGAUAGUCAUGGAAUGCAUGAUACUGAGUAAAUUUCCUAAGCUAUGAAGGUGGCAAUGUAGCAUCAUCUUCUCCAGCAAGUGAUUGAGUGGACAAGCUUUGUCUGUGUAUGAAGCUUUGUGUAUCGUGUCUAUGGUGAAGCUCCGUGUGAGACAGCAGCAGAACAACAACAACAACAGCAACAAGAAGAAGAUCAAGAUCAAGAAAUAAUUUGUGGCAGCGGAGUGAAGGUUAAGAAGAGAGAAUAAAAUUUUAAGAAAAGCAAAGGUUGAUGUCCUGAUACACAGUGAAAAGAAGCUGAUUGCCAAGACAUAUCUACAAGAAAGCUUAGAAGCAUUUUUAGGUACAAAGCUGUACAAGCAACUAAAGUCCAAUGCUGACGGAGCUCAGAUCAGUUUUACUUUCAGCAGGUGAGAAACAACAUUUAACAACAGAAUUCCAUAUCUGGGAAGCUUUACUUGUCUUGCUGUGGAAUACCAUAAAGUUGCACACAAAUUUUCAUGUAAAUUUGAAUUCCGAGUUGGCUCGUUUACAUGGCUAUUUAGGUUUCUAGAGCUUGUUAAUACAAUGGCUAUUUGAUGUCUACACUGUAAUGUGGUGGUUAAGGGAGCCUAUAUUUGAAUCUGUCUUUUGAGCCAGUCUUUUUUAAUUAAUUUCAAGACUACUAAAUAUUAUUCA